rnacentral:rRNA from 1 species
GAGUUUGAUCUUAGCUCAGGACAAACGCUGGCGGGGUGCAUGAGACAUGCAAGUCGAACGGGGUUGAGCGGGCUUGCUCGAUCAACCUAGUGGCGGGACGGCUGAGUAACGCGUAGGUGACCUGCCCGGAAGUGGGGAAUAACUGCCCGAAAGGGUGGCUAAUACCGCAUGUGGUCGGCGAUUCGGUUCGCCGUGCAAAGCCGCAAGGCGCUUCCGGAGGGCCUGCGUCCGAUUAGCUAGUUGGUGGGGUAACGGCUCACCAAGGCGACGAUCGGUAGCUGGUCUGAGAGGAUGAUCAGCCAGACUGGGACUGAGAACGGCCCAGACUCCUACGGGAGGCAGCAGUCGGGAAUUUUGCCCAAUGGACGAAAGUCUGAGGCAGCAACUCCGCGUGAGGGACGAAGGCCUUCGGGUCGUAAACCGUCUUUCUCUAGGAAGAUACAAGACGGUACCUGAGGAAUUAAGCCACGGCUAACUACGUGCCAGCAGCCGCCGCCGUAACACUACUGCCAAGGCAC